rnacentral:rRNA from 1 species
UGACCAACUUACCUUCGGGAGGGGGACAACCUGGGGAAACCCGGGCUAACACCGCAUAAAGUGCCUUGGCCGCAUGACCGGGGCAUGAAAGGGGGCCUCUGCUUGCAAGCUCCCGCCUGAAGAGGGGGUCGCGGCGUAUCAGCUAGUUGGUAGGGUAACGCCUACCAAGGCUACGACGCGUAGCGGGUCUGAGAGGACCGACCCGCCACAUUGGGACUGAGAUACGGCCCAGACUCCUACGGGGAGCAG